ACGGCCAUACCAUGCUGAAUAUACCGGUUCUCGUUAGAUCACCGAAGUCAAGCAUCAUUGGUACUUGGCUGGGUGACCACCUCGGAACACCGCGGGCCGUU